rnacentral:rRNA from 1 species
AGGCCUUUCGGGGUACACGAGCGGCGAACGGGUGAGUAACACGUGGGUGAUCUGCCCUGCACUUCGGGAUAAGCCUGGGAAACUGGGUCUAAUACCGGAUAUGACCUCAKGUUGCAUGACUUGGGGUGGAAAGAUUUAUCGGUGCAGGAUGGGCCCGCGGCCUAUCAGCUUGUUGGUGGGGUAAUGGCCUACCAAGGCGACGACGGGUAGCCGACCUGAGAGGGUGACCGGCCACACUGGGACUGAGACACGGCCCAGACUCCUACGGGAGGCAGCAGUGGGGAAUAUUGCACAAUGGGCGAAAGCCUGAUGCAGCGACGCCGCGUGAGGGAUGACGGCCUUCGGGUUGUAAACCUCUUUCAGCAGGGACGAAGCGCAAGUGACGGUACCUGCAGAAGAAGCACCGGCUAACUACGUGCCAGCAGCCGCGGUAAUACGUAGGGUGCAAGCGUUGUCCGGAAUUACUGGGCGUAAAGAGUUCGUAGGCGGUUUGUCGCGUCGUUUGUGAAAACCAGCAGCUCAACUGCUGGCUUGCAGGCGAUACGGGCAGACUUGAGUACUGCAGGGGAG